rnacentral:rRNA from 1 species
AUUGAACGCUGGCGGCAGGCCUAACACAUGCAAGUCGAGCGGAGCGGCGGACGGGUGAGUAAUGCCUAGGAAUCUGCCUGGUAGUGGGGGAUAACGUCCGGAAACGGGUGCUGAUACCGCAUACUAUCAGAUGAGCCUCGGGCGGAUUAGCUAGUUGGUGGGGUAAAGGCCUACCAGGGCGGAGAUCCGUAACUGGUCUGAGAGGAUGAUCAGUCACACUGGAACUGAGACACGGUCCAUACUCCUACGAGAGGCAGAAGUGGGGAAUAUUGGACAAUGGGCGAAAGCCUGAUCCAGCCAUGCCGCGUGUGUGAAGAAGUGCUUCGGAUUGUAAAGCACUUUAAGUUGGUAGGCGUUACCAACAGAAUAAGCACCGGCUAACUUCGUGCCAGCAGCCGCGGUAAUUC